CAGCAGCCGCGGUAAUACGGAGGAUCCAAGCGUUAUCCGGAAUCAUUGGGUUUAAAGGGUCCGCAGGCGGAUUUAUAAGUCAGUGGUGAAAGCCUACAGCUUAACUGUAGAACUGCCAUUGAUACUGUAAGUCUUGAAUUCGGUCGAAGUGGGCGGAAUAUGUCAUGUAGCGGUGAAAUGCUUAGAUAUGACAUAGAACACCGAUAGCGAAGGCAGCUCACUAGGCCUGGAUUGACGCUCAGGGACGAAAGCGUGGGGAGCGAACAGGAUUAGAUACCCUGGUAGUCCACGCCGUAAACGAUGAGUGCUAGUUGUCGGGACGCAUGCGUUUCGGUGACGUAGUUAACGCGUUAAGCACUCCGCCUGGGGAGUACGGCCGCAAGGUUAAAACUCAAAGAAAUUGACGGGGGCCCGCACAAGCG
rnacentral:rRNA from 1 species